UUUAUGACUGCCCAUUAUCGCUUUCCUUGAAGUGCCUGGUCCUUUCAGUGGGAAGAGGUGCAGUUCUAGGAUCACCCAAAGGGUGACUUUUAAAGUUGCCACAGAAACCACUUCCACUGGGGCUGGCUCUUGCUGGGUUUCAUGAAAGGAACGAGGCUUCGGAGGUCACCCCUCAGAUCUGAGGCAACUGCAGCUACCUCGUCGUGUUGGAUGGCCCAGCCAGACUUUUGGCUUGCCUUGGUGUAUCAGCAGGGAAAAUCCAGCAGGGAAAAUUCAGCAGGGGGUCAGUGAAGGCUUCUGCCCUGAAGGAAGAUAAAGGAAUCUCCUCUAGGUUAUGCACAAGAGAUUUCUCCUGUAUGUGCCUGCAUAUCCCAUGCUGAGAACUACAGAAAACUGAAUUCAAUACACAGGUGUUCAUAUAUUCAUGGAAGUCAAAACUUUAAAACUACCCAAAGUCCCAACAUUGAAGUUAUGUGAGAAAUUGCUGUGAUUUGUUCAAACAUUGCUGUUCCAGCCUUAUAAUGAACACCUGAAAUAAAUACUGUAACAACUGAAA